UAGGUCACCCGGUUCCCUCUCACCUACUUUCAGAUUAUCCGGUCUCUUAGACAUUGAUCCUGGAGACAAUGAAAAAUACUGGCAGGCGAGCCAAAUCAACAGCGAUGUUAAUGAAGUUAUGAAUGAUUAACAAGGAUGCCAGUCACAAGGAACCAAUCCCACCAUGGAUUAAUCUACACCGGAUUUCAAAAAUGGAACCGCAUCAAUAUGUAGGCUAUAUAUUAAUGGUGUGUUACUCAGCUCGGCUAACUGAGUGAUUGAAGUUCUGUAUGCACUAAAGAUGUAUCAUUAAAAUAAAGAUAGUUAAUAAUU